rnacentral:rRNA from 1 species
UACGAGGGGGGCGAGCGUUGGUUCGGAAUUAUUGGGCGUAAAGGGUGCGUAGGCGGUUUGACAAGUCGUGAUGUGAAAUCUAUGGGCUCAACCCAUAGCCUGCAUCGGAAACUGUCGGACUUGAGUAUGGGGAGAGGUGAGUGGAAUUUCCGGUGUAGCGGUGAAAUGCGUAGAUAUCGGAAGGAACACCUGUGGCGAAAGCGGCUCACUGGACCAUUACGUGACGCUGAGGCACGAAAGCUAGGGGAGCAACAGG